rnacentral:rRNA from 1 species
GGGAAUUUUCCGCAAUGGGCGAAAGCCUGACGGAGUGACGCCGCGUGGGGGACGAAGGCCUUCGGGUCGUAAACCCCUGUCAGAGGGAAAGAAGGGUCGCCGACCUAAUACGUCGGUGAUUUGACGGUACCUUCAGAGGAAGCCCCGGCCAACUCUGUGCCAGCAGCCGCGGUAAUACGAAGGGGGCUAGCGUUGUUCGGAAUCACUGGGCGUAAAGCGCGCGUAGGCGGGUCGUUAAGUCGGGGGUGAAAUCCCGAGGCUCAACCUCGGAACUGCCUUCGAUACUGACGACCUUGAGUCCGGGAGAGGUGAGUGGAACUCCUAGUGUAGAGGUGAAAUUCGUAGAUAUUAGGAAGAACACCAGUGGCGAAGGCGGCUCACUGGCCCGGUACUGACGCUGAUGUGCGAAAGCGUGGGGAGCAAAC